GGGUGGAGAAAAAAAUGGAAAAAUGAAGGUCUCUCUUGCAUGCGCAUUGAAGCAUCGCAUUUCCUCUCAUUUAAGAGAGUCCUCCUAAUCAAACUCAUUCAAAUUAGAAUAAUUUUUUUGAUAAUGUUUUAUAUUUGAUCAGAUAUUUUUGGUGAUUUAUCUAAAAUUUUUCUAGAUUUAUUAGAGGGCCAAAUGGAUGCUAGAAACCUCCUCAUGUGCGCACACGCGA
rnacentral:lncRNA from 1 species